rnacentral:pre_miRNA from 1 species
UGUUAAAAGUUUCAUUUAUUUGUACCAUUAAAAAUUGGCAUGCCUGACGGAAUAACUAGACAAUGAAAUGUGGGGUGCCAAGUGUACGUCAUGCUGUCGUACAAAAACCAGUUUUUUUACGGUAGAAAUAGAUGGAAUUUUUUAUA